rnacentral:rRNA from 1 species
CCCUUAGACGUUCUGGGCCGCACGCGCGCUACACUGACGAAGGCAACGAGCUUUCCUUUACCGAAAGGUACGGGUAAUCUUUUGAAACUUCGUCGUGCUGGGAUAGAUCCUUGCAAUUUUUGAUCUUAAACGAGGAAUGCCUAGUAAGCGCAAGUCAUCAACUUGCGUUGAUUACGUCCCUGCCCUUUGUACACACCGCCCGUCGCUACUACCGAUUGAAUGGUUUAGUGAGGCCUUCGGAUCCGCGACUCGUUUUGUGGAGAAGUUGGACAAACUCAGUCAUUUAGAGGAAGUAAAAGUCGUAACA